AGGCUCAGAAGUGUUUUGGCAUGUUAAAUUGCAAAUUUAAAGGGGAUAUAUUUAUCCUGGGCUU
rnacentral:tRNA from 1 species